GUGCACUCCUACGGGAGGCAGCAGUGGGGAAUUUUGGACAAUGGGCGAAAGCCUGAUCCAGCAAUGCCGCGUGAGUGAAGAAGGCCUUCGGGUUGUAAAGCUCUUUUGUCAGGGAAGAAACGGUGAGAGCUAAUAUCUCUUGCUAAUGACGGUACCUGAAGAAUAAGCACCGGCUAACUCCGUGCCAGCAGCCGCGGUAAUACGUAGGGUGCAAGCGUUAAUCGGAAUUACUGGGCGUAAAGCGUGCGCAGGCGGUUUUGUAAGUCUGAUGUGAAAUCCCCGGGCUCAACCUGGGAAUUGCAUUGGAGACUGCAAGGCUAGAAUCUGGCAGAGGGGGGUAGAAUUCCACGUGUAGCAGUGAAAUGCGUAGAUAUGUGGAGGAACACCGAUGGCGAAGGCAGCCCCCUGGGUCAAGAUUGACGCUCAUGCACGAAAGCGUGGGGAGCAAACAGGAUUAGAUACCCUGGUAGUCCCAUG
rnacentral:rRNA from 1 species